GGUUUCCCAUACAAAGUCGGGGUGUUUCCUCAUGUAGGUUUCCCUUACAGGAAGUCUGGGGUUUCCUCACUGUGGUUUCCCCUAUACAGGAAGUCUGGGGUUUCCUCACUGUGGUUUCCCAUACAGGAAGUCUGGGGUUUCCUCACUGUGGUUUCCCCUAUACAGGAAGUCUGGGGUUCCCACGGUGGUUUUUCCCCUAUACAGGAAUCUGGGGUUUCCUCACUGUGGUUUCCUCCUAUCAGGAGUCUGGGGUUCCUCAGCGGGUUUUCCCCCAUACAGGAAGUCGGGGGUUUCCUCACUGUGGUUUCCCCUAUACAGGAAGUCCUGGGUUUCCCACUGGGUUUCCCCUAUACAGGAAGUCUGGGGUUCCUCACUUGUUUCUCCUUCCUAUACAGGAAGUCUGGGGUUUCCUCACUGUGGUUUCUCCUAUACAGGAAGUCUGGGGUUUCCUCACUGUGGUUUCUCCUUCCUAUACAGGAAGUCGGGGGUUUCCUCACUGUGGUUUCUCUCCUUUACAGGAAGUCUGGGGUCACACACCAAUAUGAUAUCCGAGAUACUUACUUGUCCAUCUGGCACACCACCACAUUCUCUGUAUCAAACAGUUCUUGGUCCCCUCGUCACUCCAUCAUUUCACUAUUCAGAGCUCCUGAGACAGAGUGAGGAACGGUUAAUAAUGUAUCUAUCCU
rnacentral:lncRNA from 1 species